rnacentral:rRNA from 1 species
GACAGAGGGUGCAAACGUUGUUCGGAAUUACUGGGCGUAAAGCGCGCGUAGGCGGACCUGCAAGUCGGGGGUGAAAGCCCGAGGCUCAACCUCGGAACUGCCUUCGAUACUGCGGGUCUCGAGUCCGGGAGAGGUGAGUGGAAUUCCUAGUGUAGAGGUGAAAUUCGUAGAUAUCGUUUGGAACGCCAAUGGUGAAAGCAGACAGCUGGGAGUGUGCUGACGCUGAGACACGAAAGCCAGGGGAGCGAACGGG